ensembl:snRNA U6 U6 spliceosomal RNA
GUGCUAACUUUGUCAGCACAUAUACUAAAAUUAGAAUGAUAGGGAGAUUAGCACGGCACCUGUGCAAGGAUACAUAAAAUUUUGUGAAGCAUACCAUAUUUUU